rnacentral:lncRNA from 1 species
GAAAAACUAUCGUCUAACUAUCGUUGAAAUGAUAGCUUAACAAAGACAAAUGAUACUUUUACCUAACUAUCGAUGAGAUAGCUUAACAAAGGUAAGAAUGAAAGAAAAACCAUCGUCUAACUACCGUUGAAAUGAUAGCUUAACAAAGACAAAUGAUACUUUUACCUAACUAUCGAUGAGAUAGCUUAACAAAGGUAAGAAUGAAAGAAAAACCAUCGUAUAACUAUCGUUGAAAUGAUAGCUUAACAAAGACAAAUGAUACUUUUACCUAACUAUCGAUGAGAUAGCUUAACAAAGGUAAGAAUGAAAGGAAAACCAUCGUCUAACUACCGUUGAAAUGAUAGCUUAACAAAGACAAAUGAUACUUUUACCUAACUAUCGAUGAGAUAGCUUAACAAAGGUAAGAAUGAGAGAAAAACCAUCGUCUAACUACCGUUGAAAUGAUAGCUUAACAAAGACAAAUGAUAC